ACAGUUAAACCACAAUGGCCUGUUGAAAUGAAUGAGUUACUCCCACAAGAGAAAGUAAAUUUUAUCCCUCCCAGAACUUGAUUGUGGAACAAAAUGGCAAACAACUGCUUACUGCCACGAAUCAUACUGACUGUGUCUUACAGCAGACUGAAGGCUGGACUGAAAUUUGUACAGACUUCUCUGAGGUUAUCGGGAGCAGAGAAAGGCCAUCAGACAUCCUGUAACAGCAGCUGAGCUGGAGCUGCACGGUCAUUACAUAUCUGUAGUAGGAAGAAAUGCAACGCUGUAUUUAAUAAAGAGAUCUGAUAUGCUUGGCAUGAAGCAUGGGUCAGAAGAUCUCACUGGAAUACUAAACCAAUUUUCCAGUAAGGUCUGCAAGCCCAGCUUUGAGAAUACCAGAAUUUAUUCCAGUUGCAAAAAAGGUAUACAAAUUUUUCAGGUUAGAUUUGUGUCUCAAGCCUAAUGUUUGGCAUUUUUACUGCAUUGCUGAUUUUGUCCCACAGCAGCACAUUACAAGUCCACCCCACCAAAUCUUAAGGCCUUCUGGUCAUUUGUUAUGGAGCUCUUACUGGAAACAAAAUUCUCAGUAGUUUAAUCCUGACGGAUAAAAAGCAGCUGAGCACGCGCCCUUCCCUCUGAUUUCCAUAGCAGUUGUUGCUGAGUAAGGGCUGGAUAGGGCUCCUGCUCCCGCGUCAGGACUGCUGACACGAGCACGUGGGAGGAAGAUGAAGCUGCGCGAGGGCAGACUUCACUUCAGGAGCUGUUCCUUUCUUCUUUCACACGGAUGGGAGUGGUCACAGCACGCUUUCCUGCCGCAUCAGUCUCAACAGAUCCUUGCACAACUUGGCCUGUUUUAAGCUUUUAACAAGGGUGUAGGAGUUCAGAAAAAAAAUACCUCCCUUCCCCCAAGAAAAAUUUAAUUGCAAAGGUUUGUUUUGAUGUAGCAUGUACAGUAAACUUGAAUCACUGAAAG